GUGUGUGGCCCCGCCCUCUCCUCCCGAAGCUCCGCCCUCUCCUCUCUSCUCCAAUGGGGGCUCAGCCCCGGGGGCUCCCCCGGAACCAUCGGCGCCGCUCUCGAGGGGAUGGGGGCGCUGGUGGCGGCGCUGGGGACAAAAAAAACUGAACUCCUUCGCUCCCUGGUCCCCGACAUCCUCCGUGCUCUAAAGGAACUCAUUGACAUGGACGAGGAUCGCGGCGCCGACGCUCUGGAAGUUCUGGAUGAAUUCCUGGAAGCCAAUCCUGACUCUCUGAU